AGUGAACGCUGGCGGUAGGCCUAACACAUGCAAGUCGAACGGCAGCACAGUAAGAGCUUGCUCUUACGGGUGGCGAGUGGCGGACGGGUGAGGAAUACAUCGGAAUCUACUUUUUCGUGGGGGAUAACGUAGGGAAACUUACGCUAAUACCGCAUACGACCUACGGGUGAAAGCAGGGGAUCUUCGGACCUUGCGCGAUUGAAUGAGCCGAUGUCGGAUUAGCUAGUUGGCGGGGUAAAGGCCCACCAAGGCGACGAUCCGUAGCUGGUCUGAGAGGAUGAUCAGCCACACUGGAACUGAGACACGGUCCAGACUCCUACGGGAGGCAGCAGUGGGGAAUAUUGGACAAUGGGCGCAAGCCUGAUCCAGCCAUACCGCGUGGGUGAAGAAGGCCUUCGGGUUGUAAAGCCCUUUUGUUGGGAAAAGAAAAGCAGCAGGUUAAUACCCCGCUGUCCUGACGGUACCCAAAGAAUAAGCACCGGCUAACUUCGUG
rnacentral:rRNA from 1 species